AUCAGACACGGUGCCAGCAGCCGCGGUAAUACGUAGGGUCCGAGCGUUGUCCGGAAUUACUGGGCGUAAAGAGCUCGUAGGUGGUUUGUCGCGUUGUUCGUGAAAACUCACAACUCAAUUGUGGGCGUGCGGGCGAUACGGGCAGACUUGAGUACUGCAGGGGAGACUGGAAUUCCUGGUGUAGCGGUGGAAUGCGCAGAUAUCAGGAGGAACACCGGUGGCGAAGGCGGGUCUCUGGGCAGUAACUGACGCUGAGGAGCGAAAGCGUGGGGAGCGAACAGGAUUAGAUACCCUGGUAGUCCACGCCGUAAACGGUGGGUACUAGGUGUGGGUUUCCUUCCUUGGGAUCCGUGCCGUAGCUAACGCAUUAAGUACCCCGCCUGGGGAGUACGGCCGCAAGGCUAAAAACUCAAAAUGAAUUGGCGGG
rnacentral:rRNA from 1 species